ACAGAAGUGAGAAGAUUUUAAGGGAGGUUCAAAGUGCCUUUCCCAAGAGAAGUGUCCGCACAUUAUUGUCUGUGCAGAGAGAUCCUAUAGCAAGGAUGAAACGGUUCUUUCGGAUUGAGGCGAAACUGAGGAGCUUUAAUGGAAAUGGGUCUGAAGAAAAGAAGGAGCCAUUCAGAUGUCUCUGCACUUUCUGCCUGUAUCAAGGCUGGGAUCCUUCUGAGAACGCCAAAAUAGGAAAAAAUUAGAGGCA